rnacentral:lncRNA from 1 species
UAUUUAUUUAGGUACCAGGGAUCGAACUCGGGUCUGCGUGCUUGUGAGGCGCCGGAACCACUGACUAAAUCCCUGGCCCAAAGUAUUAGAUAAUUUAUCUACGCAAAUACUGGCCUCUAAAUAAUGGUGCCUAGAGGAAAGGUCUAGGUGAGAAGUAGGUGAUUGCUCGAGGUAACCCUUAGUUAACAGUAGCAGAGGGAUAUAGAAAAGUACUGAUUGAAUUAUUCCUAGCUUUAAAAUAGAUGCACAGCUACGUAGACUUGACAUUUGGUUUAGAUGAGUACAAGCUUAGGUUGAGUCUGCAGGAGGAGCCGACCUUCCAAGAGUGGCACAAAGCUGUCUAAUAGAGAGGAAGUAAAAGCUAAGGAAUUGCUGUCCUAAAAUGCAGGAAAAAUCUAGAAGCUGAUUUUAGAAUCCAAAGCCCAUGCAUAGAAAUUCUCUUCCAUUCUGAUAACUUCCAGAUAUCAUCAGGAAGACCUACCACCAUCCACACAUGGCAGCCCCUUUACCUCACAGGCUUUCUAAGACAAUGAUGAAUCUGAAGAAAGUGAAGUACCCUUCUGCAUUCAUGCUUUCCUUUUUGUUAAACUCUCAUGUUCAAGACAGAUACCGGGACCUUCCUGCUUCCACAUCUCGCCAUAGAAAGAGAUUCUGGUCAUUAGGAUACUGAACAGGAUAGUUCAGACACGAAGGCUGCCUGACAAAUCCAGGG